rnacentral:rRNA from 1 species
UGCGUAGGUGGCGAGGUAAGUCGGAUGUGAAAGCUCGGAGCUCAACUCCGAAAUGGCAUUGGAAACUACCUUGCUCGAGGGUUGGAGGGGGGACUGGAAUUCUCGGUGUAGCAGUGAAAUGCGUAGAUAUCGAGAGGAACACCAGUGGCGAAGGCGAGUCCCUGGACAACUCCUGACACUGAGGCACGAAAGCUAGGGAGGCAAACA